GCAAAGUUGUGUUUUGCGUUGCAUUUGACCGUUAAUCAGGGAUCGUCCGGGUCAUCGGACCCCAGGACAGGUAUAUCCCUCUCACGUACACAAGUCCGGGUCCCUAAGACCCCAGGACAUUUCAAUCUUCCGGCCCGGGUCAACACGACCCCAGGGCCUCUCUCUACCCGGGUCACCACGACCCCAGGGUACACAGUAGGCAACCGAGGCAGCCCCCAUAUUGUGCCAAACAUUUGUAUGUAAAUAAAAGUUCCUUGACAUGUA